CGGAGACUCGGAGGAAGAAUGUUUCGGUGGCGCUGGAAUGGGGGAGGUUCCCCGCGCUGGUUUUCAGCUGGCGUCCCAAGAAACGAAGCAAUGAAGGUGAAAGCCCAGCUGGAUAAUUGUUCAGUGAGAAGGACAAGGAGGAAGGGAAUUGAGGGUGUUGAUGAGACAAGAUCAUGGGACCCAGAUGAAAAGGAACGAGGUAAGACUGUGGGGGAGUGAUGAUGGUGGUGAUGAAGGGUGGAGCAAGGUGCUGGCUGCUGCCCAAGUGAGGGGGUUGCCACGAUGAAUCAGGCCAGGUCCCUGCCCUCCAACUGCAGAAGCCAUUUCACCCACACACUUCAGGAACAACACUACCUAGCCGAACCCCUCUCCCUGCUUUCUCACACCAGCGGAAACUCUCACCCACCAGGCUGGUGACAGGAAGCUGGGUCAGAUCCUCCCGAUUCCCCACAUAGCCGAACACUUCCAUUAAAGCCAGGAUCCUCUGACAAGCUGGCUCCUGGAGGAGGCUGCACUGAUUUGGGGAUUGGAAGCCUGGCACCCAGCUUCUAAAUAGUGACACAGGGAGUGUUCCCUAUUCAUGGGGUUGCAUCAUGCUUGAUUUCUACCGCGUCUGAGCAAACGUAGUUACAAGCUCUGAAAUCCACACCCAGCAACAAACUUUGGAGUUGCUUUCAGCUCUCCAAGUCCACGCUGUUGUGCCUCUGGGCUCCACAUCUGUCUGAGGAAGGAGAGGAAAGAGUGGGUUGGUUUCUGUUUUGUUUUUCCUUUCAUACCUUGGCCAAAAAUGAGUUGGUGGCAGAAAAGUUGUUCCAAGGCGAGCUUGCAGCCUGGUCUCUCCUUCCUUCCCAUAUGAUACACCACCGCCUUCUACAAGGACAUUAAAACAGUUUGCAUAAGGCUGAGAGUUGUGAAAAUAGAUGUCUGGCAGCCUCCGUAGAGCGUAAUUGAAUCAGUAGGGAACCCCCCUAUGAUUAUCUGCCAUUCUCAGUUUAUCCCUAUUGAAAAUGGGUGGAUUCUCGCAGGAGUUUCAUAAUUCAGCAGAUUUUUAAAAAUCUCUUUAAUUGACAUAUAAUAAUUGUAUGUAUAUAUGAGGUGGUUUUGAUACAUGUAUACAUUAUGUAAUAAUCAAAUCCGGGUAUUCAGCAUAUCCAUCACCUCAUUUAUCAUUUCUUUGUAGUAAGAACAUUCAAAAUC
rnacentral:lncRNA from 1 species